AGUGAACGCUGGCGGCAGGCCUAACACAUGCAAGUCGAGCGGCAGCGCGUCCGACCACCCUCGGGUGGUCGGAUGGCGGCGAGCGGCGGACGGGUGAGGAAUGCAUCGGAAUCUGCCUCGUUGUGGGGGAUAACGUAGGGAAACUUACGCUAAUACCGCAUACGACCUACGGGUGAAAGUGGGGGACCUUCGGGCCUCACGCGAUGAGAUGAGCCGAUGCCGGAUUAGCUAGUUGGCGGGGUAAAGGCCCACCAAGGCGACGAUCCGUAGCGGGUCUGAGAGGAUGAUCCGCCACACUGGGACUGAGACACGGCCCAGACUCCUACGGGAGGCAGCAGUGGGGAAUUUUGGACAAUGGGCGCAAGCCUGAUCCAGCCAUGCCGCGUGAGUGAAGAA
rnacentral:rRNA from 1 species